rfam:Ananas comosus cultivar MD2 ACMD2_Scaffold_1161, whole genome shotgun sequence.
GUUGCAAUGAUGAGUUUAAAUUUGUAGGUGUUGGCAGUGGCGAAUUUAAUUUAAUUUAAAUUUGCCGUGAGCCUUUUUCCACCGAAUUAAACGACUUCUCCUUCCACUGAGCACU